rnacentral:lncRNA from 1 species
CAAUGAAUGAGACAAUAGAAAAAGAUGAUUUCUGUUUUCCAAUUCUAAUUCUUUUUUUUCUUGCUUGUUUUUUUUUUUUCUUCUUUUUAAGUAGCCGGGUGUGCUGGCACACAUCUGUCAUCCCAGCUACUCAGGAAGCUGAGGUGGGAGGAUCACUUGAGCCUGAGUGUUUGGGGCUGCAGUGAGCCAGGAUUGCGCCAAAGCACUCCAGCCUUGGUGACAAAGAAAGAACCUGUCUCAACAAAACAAAACAAAAGAAAACACACAAGCAAUUAAAGAAAAAAGAGAGAUGAAAAAUACUUUUAAAUGAUCUCCUUGUUUCUUACCACCCAGACCACGAGUAAUCAUCUCCCUAACUGCCUAACUUUUAUGUAAACCAGAUUAGUAAAUUGAACCCACCAGCUUUAUUAGUAUUCAUUAACUUAUCUGUAGGCUAUAUAUUUUUCUUCUAUUUGGAAUUAUAAGGCGUGUGUUGACUUGAGACUCUGCCCUUCAAUAACUCAACCAUCUUGAUCAAACAUCAAACUGCCAAAGACAGAAAAUUAUUUACUGAUGUACAUUAUUUGACAAACUAUUCAAAGGAAUGACCCCACUAUUUAUGCAGUUUUAAGCAGAGAAGGAGAGUCUCCAGGAACUAUACGAAUUAAUCAACUUGAGCAAUCAGCCUGUUUUACAGCCUCCUGCCUUGGAGACUACUUUUUCCAAAACUCUAUGUGGGAUGUGGUCACCUAGUUGGUUGGAACCAGCUCCUGACAGACCCCAGCAACUGACAGAUGAACCUGAGUGAACUUUCCUCAUUAUCAUGCUAAAGUCUCCAUCCCGAAAGGAACUAUAGCUUCAUUACCAGAACAUGCAACCUUUGUGCUGGCAUAAAGGCUCACUGCGUCUAAAGCAACUGGGACCCGUCCCGUACAUGUGAUGAUGCACACUCUCCUCUCUCCAUAGCGCCAUAAACUCUCUCAGGGAGACACUGCUUUGAGGAAUGCUUCCUUACUUGUGCUAAGUAAUAAAACUCCUAUUGAUUAAAAUUUACAUUCUUGUGGAUUCGUUUGUUACUGGACAAGUGAGUGAAUUCAUUUUUUUUCAGGUUAGUCAUCAAAAUAAACUUUGUGGAUAUGAUUGUACAUUACUUAUUCUUUUAUUCUCAUACCUCCAUUUAUAUUCAUGUUCUGUUAAUUCUACAUUCCUAAAGAAUUAAACUUUCUCUUCCAAAAGAUCUAUUAUGGCCUUUAUACAAUGUCUUUAUAAUUUUCUAUGAGAACUAUUGAAGUAGCUGCCUAAUUAAUAUCUCCGUCUUAGGUUUGUAACCUUUUUGUUCAUUUUCUAGUCUUCUAUCAAAGUAAUCUUUCUCAAAUAUAAAUCUGGUCAUAUUUGUUCCAUGCUUACAUCUCUUUGAUUACUUCCCAUUAUCUACUAAAAAAUGUUCAAAUGUCUGGCUCGAGAAACAUGAUCUUCUUGAUGAUUUUGCUGGCUUUUUCAUCUUCAUUUUCUACUUGUGACCCCUUGAAUCCAACAAACCAGUUAUAAUAAAGCAUGCUUUUCUUCAUCAUUUGCUACCUUUUCAUGGAAUAUCUUAUCCUUUGCCCUCCAUUUCCCUUAUAUCUUCUCUUUGUAGAUCAAGUUCAAGCAAUAUGUUCUCUGUGAAGUUUUUCCUGACUAGUCCUAAUGCAACUACCUCUCAAAGUUAUGUUAAUAGCAGACCUUCCCUUUACAUAACUCCAUGCUAUACAGACCUCUCUUAUAUUACCUACAGUAUAUUUCCAUGUUUUUUUAUCUUGCUAGCCUGUAAGACCUCUAAGGCUAUUACUCAUUUUUGUAAUAUCAAAAGUACAAGUUAUAUAUGGUAUGUAAUGAGUGAUUAAAACAUUUGUUGAACGAUUUUACAUGUGUGUCUAAAAUGCAGCGUUGGUUCCUGGACAUUUCGAAUACUCAAUUGAACAUUUUCUAGCUUAUAGGCAUAAUUUAGUAAGUA